rnacentral:rRNA from 1 species
UACGUAGGGAGCGAGCGUUGCCCGGAUUCAUUGGGCGUAAAGAGCUCGUAGGCGGCUUGGUAAGUCGGAUGUGAAACCUCCAGGCUCAACCUGGAGUCGCCAUCCGAUACUGCCAUGGCUAGAGUCCGGUAGGGGCCCACGGAAUUCCUGGUGUAGCGGUGAAAUGCGCAGAUAUCAAGAGGAACACCAGUGGCGAAGGCGAGUCCCUGGACAACUUCUGACGCUGAGGCACGAAAGCUAGGGGAGCAAACAGG